GGGGUUGUAGCUCAGUGGUAGAGCACUUGCUUAGCAUGUGUGAGGCACUGGGUUUGAUUCUCAGCACCA
rnacentral:tRNA from 1 species